AAACUACUCCCUCCGUUCCGAAUUACUUGUCGCAGAUAUGGAUGUAUCUAGAUGUAUUUUAGUUUUAGAUACAUCCAUUUCCGUGACGAGUAAUUUGAAACGGAGGGAGUACUAC
rnacentral:pre_miRNA from 1 species